rnacentral:lncRNA from 1 species
UUGAUUAGAGUGGCUCAGAGUCCAAACACUAAAAUGGAUGUUACCAAUCUGGCUAAAGUCUUUGGUCCUACAAUUGUUGCCCAUGCUGUGCCCAAUCCAGACCCAGUGACAAUGUUACAGGACAUCAAACGUCAACCCAAGGUGGUAGAACGCCUGCUUUCACUGCCCCUGGAAUACUGGAGUCAGUUCAUGAUGGUGGAGCAAGAGAACAUUGAUCCUCUGCAUGUUAUUGAAAACUCAAAUGCCUUUUCAACACCACAGACACCAGAUAUUAAAGUGAGCUUACUGGGGCCCGUGACUACUCCUGAGCACCAGCUUCUCAAGACUCCAUCAUCCAGCUCCCUAUCCCAAAGAGUCCGCUCUACCCUCACCAAGAACACUCCCAGAUUUGGGAGCAAAAGCAAGUCUGCCACCAACCUAGGACGACAAGGCAACUUUUUUGCUUCUCCAAUGCUCAAGUGAAGUCACGUCUGCCUGAUACUUCCCAGCAUUUACCAACUGCAGGAAAGGGCACACCUGUACUCUCUGCUCUGCAGCCUUCUGUACUACUUUUAGCAUUCUCCAGGCUUUUAAUCAAGUUUAAUUGUGCAUGAGGGUUUUAUUAAAACUAUAUAUAUAUAUCUCCCUCUUCUCCUCCUCCAGUAACAUUUUAUCAGCACUUUGUGCUGUCGUUGUUGGGAACUUUCAGAUGGGAGAUCCCUAUAGGGGUUGAAGGAGAAAUAUGGAAUUAUGGUUCUUUUGGGGUCAGGAGGCAUCCCUUUGGCUUGAAGCCAAAUGCUGCUCCUGGAAUGACUUUUCUCUAGUGUUAUUUAACUCAUCUCCAUGAGACAAUGACAGAAACCCUGCCUCUUUGGUACGGGUAGGAAGUGAGGGGACAGGGUAAAGAAAAGAUUAGUCAGAGAAUUUAGGAUGAUUCCUUCUCAGAACCUGCAAUUUCCCUUUUCCCAUUAUGAAUUAAACUAUAGCAUGGAACCUUCAUAAAUAGGAUAGGUUGAGGACAGAACUAGUCAUGGGAGUAUGCAUAGCUUUAAUUUGGAUUGAUUAGUUCUUAAGGUCUUGAAGUGACACAACCUUGUGAAUGUGAUACUUCUUUUUAUCUCUGAUGGGUGACUUGCUGGACUUUGGGUUUUAUUGGGGUCAUAGCCAGUUUGUUGUUUUAAAGUUGAAUUCAUUCUGAUGCCUCACCCUCCCACCUUUUGUCCAGUAGAUUCCUAUUUCUAAAGGUUAGUAUGCUGUUUGUCAUCCCAGCUAACAAAUAAGAUGAGGCUGUAGGGAAGACUGUCAAUAUUUCAUGUGGCAAGAAAAACCACAGUCAUUUUUGUCUUUGCACUUUGGAUGCUAAAAUUUUUCCAUCUAUAGAAUGUUUUUGACUCAUAUUAUCCCUUGUCUGUAAGACAUAUUUGGAAAAAAGUAAAUAGCUUUUUCAAAAG